rnacentral:snRNA from 1 species
GUGCUUACUAUAGCAGGACAUAUACUAAAAUUGGAAUAAUACAAAGAAGAUUCACAUGGCUCCUGUGCCAAGAUAACACAAAUUCACGAAGUGCUCCCUAUUUCA